rnacentral:rRNA from 1 species
GACGAACGCUGGCGGCGUGCUUAACACAUGCAAGUCGAACGGAAAGGCCCUGCUUUUGUGGGGUGCUCGAGUGGCGAACGGGUGAGUAACACGUGAGUAACCUGCCCUUGACUUUGGGAUAACUUCAGGAAACUGGGGCUAAUACCGGAUAGGAGCUCCUGCUGCAUGGUGGGGGUUGGAAAGUUUCGGCGGUUGGGGAUGGACUCGAGGCUUAUCAGCUUGUUGGUGGGGUAGUGGCUUACCAAGGCUUUGACGGGUAGCCGGCCUGAGAGGGUGACCGGCCACAAUGGGACUGAGAUACGGCCCAGACUCCUACGGGAGGCAGCAGUGGGGAAUAUUGCACAAUGGGCGGAAGCCUGAUGCAGCAACGCCGCGUGCGGGAUGACGGCCUUCGGGUUGUAAACCGCUUUCGCCUGUGACGAAGCGUGAGUGACGGUAAUGGGUAAAGAAGCACCGGCUAACUACGUG